rnacentral:rRNA from 1 species
UCUUAUUUGCGUUGUUGUAUGUAUUCUUCCACAAUGGGCGAAAGCCUGAUGGAGCAACGCCGCGUGGGUGAAGAAGGUCUUCGGAUCGUAAAACCCUGUUGUUAGAGAAGAAAGUGCGUGAGAGUAACUGUUCACGUUUCGACGGUAUCUAACCAGAAAGCCACGGCUAACUACGUGCCAGCAGCCGCGGUAAUACGUAGGUGGCAAGCGUUAUCCGGAUUUAUUGGGCGUAAAGGGAACG